rnacentral:rRNA from 1 species
AACGAACGCUGGCGGCAUGCCUAACACAUGCAAGUCGAACGAGACCUUCGGGUCUAGUGGCGCACGGGUGCGUAACGCGUGGGAAUCUACCCUCAGGUUCGGAAUAACUCAGAGAAAUUUGAGCUAAUACCGGAUGAUGACGUAAGUCCAAAGAUUUAUCGCCUGAGGAUGAGCCCGCGUAGGAUUAGGUAGUUGGUGAGGUAAAGGCUCACCAAGCCGACGAUCCUUAGCUGGUCUGAGAGGAUGAUCAGCCACACUGGGACUGAGACACGGCCCAGACUCCUACGGGAGGCAGCAGUGGGGAAUAUUGGACAAUGGGCGAAAGCAUGAUCCAGCAAUGCCGCGUGAGUGAUGAAGGCCUUAGGGUUGUAAAGCUCUUUUACCCGGGAUGAUAAUGACAGUACCGGGAGAAUAAGCUCCGGCUAACUCCGUG